CGCGUAGGUGGUUCGUUAAGUCAGGGGUGAAAUCCCGGGGCUCAACCCCGGAACUGCCUUUGAUACUGGAAGUCUUGAGUAUGGUAGAGGUGAGUGGAAUUCCGAGUGUAGAGGUGAAAUUCGUAGAUAUUCGGAGGAACACCAGUGGCGAAGGCGGCUCACUGGACCAUUACUGACGCUGAGGUGCGAAAGCGUGGGGAGCAAACAGGAUUAGAUACCCUCGUA
rnacentral:rRNA from 1 species